AACGCACAUUGCGCCCCUUGGUAUUCCGAGGGGCAUGCCUGUUCGAGCGUCAUUUCAACCACUCAAGCCUCGCUUGGUGUUGGGAUUCGCGGUCUCGCGGUCCUUAAAAUCAGUGGCGGUGCCAUCUGGCUCUCAGCGUAGUAAAAUCCUCGCUAUGGAGUCUGCUGGUGUCUGUCAAAAAACCCCUCUUUAUGGUUGACCUCGGAUCAGGUAGGGAUACCCGCUGAACUUAA
rnacentral:misc_RNA from 1 species